GCAGCAGCAGUACCGUUCCGCCCUAGGCUGCCCGGGCCGGGACGGAAGGAGAGGGGGAGGCCGCCGGCACCGCCUCCCCGGCAGCCACGCUCCUGCGGGCGGGCGCGAACAACCGCCAGGAGCGAGGCCGCUGCCUGGUUUGUAGCAGACUUGUGUCCUCUACAGCGCCGCAGUCUGUUCCUGGAGCCCGGGAGGGCCCCGCAGGCCGGACACAAGCAAGAGCUCGGGCCCCCGAAACGAGUGUUAACUCCAGCUCAUGGUCAAGCCAUGACUGCUUCAGCCUGCCCUACCUCUUGCAGUUUUGGCUCCGGACAGGCAGCUGAAACAACUCCACCAAAUGUAAUCAUCUCAUUUGGAUCAAAUUAUGAAGCUUUCAGAAAAAGGGAAAAUACACUGUCCUUCCCCCACCAGCACUACAACAAUGAAUAAAGGUGUAAGUAAUUUGCUGGACAGAACAGAAUAUGGAGCAUAGAUGUAACAACCUGGCAUUGUUUGUUGCUUCUGUGUCAGAGGACAUAGUUUGCCCUGGCUGAUUUUCCCAUGACCUGCAAAGAUGGAGCAAGUCCAGGCAUUUGAAUCGAAUUUUAACUUCAAGUGAUGAAUGCUCAGCUACCUGAUAAAUUCCACUUUUAGAAAAUGCAGCUUUCCUGGAGUGAUAAGCAGGUGUGUGCCUUCUUUAGCAGCGAGCAUGUGUAGCUUUCUUAGUUGAGUGACCUAAGAUCUUUCCUUUGCUUUUGAGCACAUUAUCUUUACAUCUACAAGAAGUUGUUUUGGGGUACAAAACAUUUCAAGUGAAAAAUACGUACAUAAGCAUAUAAAUGUCAGAAAGAUACUGGAGGUUAUGUUGCCAUAUACUCAGAAAUACGAGGGAGAUUGAGUAAAUGUGGAUGAUACCAAGAGACCAUGGAGGCAAUACAUGGUUAUUUAUUCAGUGAUAAUUACAAGAGUAAGCAAAAGACCGUGAAGUAGUCUGUAGAGUUGUUGAUGUCCUCCUAUUAUUUACCAAGUAAAAACUAGAUCUCAGUCUUCUUCCCGUUGAUAGCAAAUACCUUCUCCUAGAGAAAGAGUAACAAUUCCCAUGGGUAAAGAUUUCCUUCCUACUUUCACUGUCUCAGAAGACCUUGAUCUGCGUUGUGGCUGCUGACUGGAUAAAUUCGGUAUCGUCUGAAACGUCACAGAUUAAAUUAUGCAAUACAUUAUGCAAACAUGAACAGAAGUAAUCCAAAGUAAUAUAAGAGAUUAGGAAAAUGAGAGCAUGUGAGAAAAUGAGAAUAGGGAAAAAACGUGGAAAUACAGCUAAGACAGAAUAUGUUAAAUGUUCAUGUCUAAUGGAAGAGACAGGCCAGAGCAGAAUGGUUCCAAAAGAUGAUUGUAUGCUCACUGCAUGUAGUGCAUGGUAAAAAUGAAUGCACUUGCAAUUGCUUCUGGCAGUAAAGCUGGCCACAGUAAAUCCAGGCCUCCCAUAAAGACAGAGGAAAUUAUAUGGCAUGCUUACUAAAGCUGGUGAAACAAUAAAACAUUGGAAGCUCUCAUUGCUGGAAAGAUACUGGCAAUUUGGAAUGAAUUUAUAGGAAACUGGCAAGAAAUGGAUUGCCAGAGAUAGAGAUACUUGUUUAGAAGGAAUCAGAAGAUUUAAAUAUGUCUAACUUGGCAGUAAUGUCCAGCUAUUUUAAUAAUGUGACUACCAAAGGAGGGAAUAAUCUGCAAUUGCUUUCAACAUUCAUGGAUAGAGUUAUCAUGAUAAUAUUAAAUCUUCUGCAGCUUUGAUCCCUGAAAUGGAUCUGUGAGGCCUAUAAAAGCUUCUUCCACUAAAACCACCAUGAAAAAUAUAAGCAGGAAACCAUUAAGUUCUUAAAUAGCAAAUAUUGUUGUUGGAUUGAAAUGAUUUUCUUUUGAUUUUGGACUAUUACUUCUUUUUAUUUGGUUUGUAGAAUGAUAAGCACAUACACCUCUUUCCAACUCUAGGUGCCUUUAAACACUUUUAAAUCACAGAAAACUUCAGUAAAUUGAUACAAGUUCUGUUUGCUGGUCACCACUGUCAUAACUGCUAGCACUAUUUCUUCUGCUGAAUAUUACAUUACUAUAAUUUCUGAACUUUAAUUUUGUCCCUAACACCCAAAUAAAGGCAGGUGCUUUGCAGAAUAUAUCAGUGGUUGAAGCUUGUUCUGCUCAAGAGCGAAGUGCUAAGCUAAGGAGGCUGUGUAAUGUAUAAGCAGAUUUUUCUCCUGAAUUGAAAAACUUGUGCUGUGUACUUCUGCUUACGUCAGCUGUAGCACAGAGAAAGGUAAAAAGGCAAUGCUUCAGGAAAAAAAAACUUUAACUGAAAUAAUUUGGAGCUUCAAAGUUAAAGACAAUACCCUGAAUUCUGCCCAGAGCCCCAGGCAAGUGAUGCAGCUUGACACCAAUUGCUGUAAAUGUAUUUGUCCUUAAUAUUCAGAUUAUCAAUGCUGCUUUAAAUUAUCUCAGUUUAUAAACAGAAAAUUGGUAGUGUCCUACUCAUUGGUUUAAAAUGACCUGACCAGGUCCCUCCAAAAUAAAAGCUUUUAUUUAUUUUUCCAAGCAUUAAUUUCAGAAUUAAGAGCACUUCUGUUGCUUCCCAGGUACCCAGGAAAAGGUAUUGCUCCCACUGAAUUUAUGGAUCCUGGUUCAACACGAUACUUAAGCUGAUGCCUAAUUUUAGGUACUAGCCAGCUGUAAAAAACUCAGCCUGCUUCCUUAAAGUGUACUCCUGUGCUUAUUAACUUCAUCAGAUAAGGCUCUGAAUUGCAAAUCUAAUUCUCCAAUAGGAGCUGCAUUUUUUCAAAGCAAAUGUCUUUGCUGAAUUUUGGUGUUUCUCUCACUCUAUCAAAAUUUAGAAAGCCCUGUUCAGACAGGAUUGGAAUGGGAUUUAUAUGAAAUGUCCUGUGGGAAAUACAGCUAUGAUGUUAAAGGAAAAAACCCUGAACCCAUAAGUAUCAUAUAUAUAUAUAUAUAUAUAUAUAUAUACACAAACUUCAAUAAUUUAUUUCUUCCUAACAUCCAUGUUGCUGUUGCCCAAAUUCUGUUUAGUGUCCUUAUCCUGACAUGAACAUAGACCCAUGGCCCUUCCUUUCUGAAUUCUUUUACUCUUGAGAUUUUCUAAUACUGUUCCAUGUUUUGCCAUACUUUAUUUUUCAUGUCUUUGUUUAGUAAUUUUACACCAUAUUUAAAUUUUAUCUACCUGCCUGCCCCCCCUUUCUUGGUGUCAUAUGCAAAUACGAUUGAUUCUCUCUGCACAAAAGUCUUCAGUUCAGUUAUAUAAUUUGGGAUUGAGAACUGACCCCUGCUGCAAGUCCCAGCUCAACAGCUCUUCUUAGAAGUCAGCAAACUGUUAUUAUAAUUAUUCUGUGUUCACAAAUUCCAGACUUCUAUAGCUACUUUGAAAGAUUUGAAUAUAAACCUCCUUCCUAUCAUUCUUUGUGAGACUAUCACAUGAAAAUGUAGAAGGUAUCUUGCAGAGUAGGUGUCCAUGCUCACAGUGUUUCCCCUGUCUGUAAACUGUCAAUAAUUUGAUGCACGCAAUGUGAAAUUAAGCACUCACACCUGAAGACAGUCUAAAAUGUAAUAACUUUCCAUUGCAUUAAUAUGUACGGGCCUCACAUAUUAUAUAUUUAACUCAGGUUUAACAGGACACUUGAAAAUCUAUAUUUAACAGGGAAACAGGAAUAUAGCAUAUUUAUUUCAGAGAAAAUUUAACUUUCGGGAUUCCUUGAUUACUGAGUACUUGAUUUUAAAAGAUGUAGCUUGCAUCUUUAUUAGUAUAACUUGACUAUUAUUUUAAAAUAAAUAAUAGUAAUAGUUGCUUUGGAAUAUUUUAAAAAGGGUUCUUCAACUAUGCUAUGUACAAGCUUUUCACAUAGGUGUGAGCCAGGUCUUUUUCUAAAUAUUACCGUUUUCCUACCCUUUUCUGUGGAACAGUUGCACUGCUCAAAUUUAAAUUUACCUCCUGCUUCAACAGUUCAGCUUAUAAAUUUCUGUACCCCGUAGCUGGACAGUUAUCAUCUAAUAGAUCACAUCUGUCAUUAUUGGUCUGAUCAGUCCUUCUGUGUCCUAAUAGGCUCCCCCAUUGACUUGAGGAACCAGAUCUGUAUCUGCUUUAGAUGUGAGAUUCAUGGACUGAUAGUUGAAAUUAGGGACCUGUAUUAUGUAGUUGAGUUGAGCCUCUCAAAAUAGCCAUAAGGAGUUCAUAUAUCCAUAUGGCAAAGUAAGAUAGGUAGCUGAAUCCUUUAAGCUUAAACUUAUGAAUCUGUACAAGUAAUGUACAAAUAAUGCCCUUUUUGGAUAUAAAGUAACUACAUAGUUAUUUGAAUGAUCUCAUUUGUAUUAUAGUAAAUGAACAAAGGAUUACACUCAUCUUUACACUGUCAGUAUUUUUCUAAUGCAGAAGAGGCAUUUGUUAAUAGGGAAUAUGGAGUCUUUGACAUUUUGGGUCCCAAUCCUUCAGUGAAGCUAGUCAUGCACCUGCUUAUUUGUGCACAAAUCAUUCUAAUGAAUUCUAAAGGACUAUUCAUGUGCAUAAAGCUAAGCCUGUGUGUAAAAGCCUUUGCAAGACUGGGCCUAGGUUGUAAGUUUGAUAAUGACCUGAGACUGAUUCAGCAGAGAAAAAACAGUCCUUUUAAAAAGUUGAGGAGUGUAACUCCAGCUCAGCUGAACAGGUAUGGGCAGUGCUAAAAGACAAAACUCUAAAAACUGAUCAAGAAAAAAUGGCAAGAGAUAUAAAUCUUUUUUUAAUUUGUAUUUUAUGAUACUGCAUUUUACCUUAAUCUUAUUAAUUCUUGGCUGCAUUUUAUUUUCAUUAUGGCUAUGAAUUCCAUUUGAAUAACUUUAUGUCAGGAGCUUAGAAAUUUCCUGUUUUAAUUUCAUGUAUAUAUAUAUAUAUAUAUAUAUAUAGCCUGUGUGGAAGAGUAGAUCCACUUAGAGAAUGGUAGUUGUGCGAAAUCAUAACUAGACUCUUCAGGAAGUUUUUGCUUAAGGAGAAGUCACGACAUCAACACUGUUUUAGAAAGAAGUGUAGAGAAGAUCUUUGUGCACUUAUUUGUUUGUACCAUGCAAUAUUCUGCCUUCUGCUGCAUUUUGUGCUGCACUGCAGCAGUUUAUGUUCUCAGAGACAGCACAACACCUGCAGGAGCCUCCGAACAACAUCAGGGGAAUUCCAGUCAUUGUGACACAUCUCCUGAAACCAUUUUCUAGAUAUUCCUUCCAUGAGUUGCUUCCAUCAGGAACUUCCAUAGAAUUUGGUAAAGACUUUUCACGUGUUUAAUAUUAAACACACAGGCAGUGCUACUGAAAGUACCAUGAAAAAUAAAUGAAAUUACUUAAAUAUAAACUGAGUUCCUGCUUGGGCCUAUGGUGUUUGGCAUUUGAUAUGGCAGCCUAGAAGAUGGACAUUUGACAGGCCACAAUAGACUGCUCCUUUCCCAGAUUACAAAAACGUAGUAACUUCCCCUUGUGAUGUCUCCAAAGGAUUCUUUGGAAGAAGGCAUCUAACAGUUCCUGUGAAAGACAUCAAUGGAAUCCUCUCUUUCAAGAAAGUCACAAUUAGAGGCUGGAAAAAGAUUAGAGAUACAGGUACAGCAGAAUGUCAAGGGAAUCUUGCUAUUAUUUUGUCUCCUGGGACAUGUUACACAGAAUUAGUAGCCUAGUUAUGGAUUUGGACUGUAGAACCACUGACAGGCUUGUGACUGAAUGCAAGAUAAGCAGAGCUCGUGGUUCCACAAUGAAAAUCUGUAUUCUGUUGCUAAAGAGCAGAGCUGAUAAGGACAACUGAUUGUAGUGGGCUGACCCUGGCUGGACACCAGGUACCCACUAAAGCCACUCUAUCACUCCCUUCUGUAGCUGGACAGAGGAGAGAAAAUAUAAUGUGGGAUUUGUGAGUUGAGAUGAGGACUGGGAGACAUCACUCACCAAUUACUGUCAUAGGCAAAACAGACUCGAAGUGGGGAUAUUAAUUAACUUUAUUACUAACUGAAUCAGAGGAGUAUAAUGAGAAGUAAAAGAAAUCUUAAAAACACUUUCCCCCACCCCUGCCUCCUUCCCAAGUUCUACCUCCUCCCCCCAGCAGCACAGGGAGACAGAGAAUGGGAGUUACACUCAGUCCAUCACAGAUUGUUUCGGCUGCUGCUCAGAGUCCUUCCCCUGCUUCCCGUGGGGUUCCUCCCAGAGAGACAGUCCUUCAUGAACUUCUCCAGCGUGAGUCCAUCCCACAGGCAACAAACUGCUCCACAAAAAUCUCCACAAACUGCUGCAACGUGGGUCACUUUUCCACACGGUGCAGUCCCUUCAGGUACAGCCUGCUCCAGUGUGGCCCCCUGACAAGGCCACAAAUCCUAGCAGGAAAACCUGCUCCGGUGUGGGCUCCUCUCUCCAUGGGUCAGCUGGUCACUGCCAGGACCUUGCUCCAGCAUGGGCUUCCUGUGGGGUCACAGCCUCCUUUGGGCAUCCAUCUGCUCUGGUGUGAGUCUUCUCAAUGGGUUGCAGGUGGAUCCUUGCACGCCCAUGGACCUCCAUGGACUGGAGGAGAACAGCUCCUCACCAUGGUCUGCACCAUGGGCUUCAGGGGAACCUCAGCUCUGCCACCUGGAGCACCUCCUGCCCCUCCUUUUCCACCAGCCUUAGUGUCUGCAGGGUUGUCCACAUGUUCUCACUCUGCUCUUCUCUGUCUGCCAUUUUCAUCUGCCCAAUAACUUUUUUUUCCCUUCUUAAAUAUGUUAUCACAGAGGUGUUACUAUCAGUCCUGAUUAGCUCAGCCUUCGCCAGCAGCAUGUCUGUCCUGGAGCUGGCUGGAAUUGGCUCUGCAGGACAUGGGGGAAGCUUCCAGCAGCUUCUCACAAAAUCCACCCCUGUAGCCCCUCUGCUACCAAAACCUGGCUGCAAAACCCCAAUAUCUUACAGAAGAUAUUCUCUUUCUGUACAGGCUGUGUGUAUCUUUAAUCCAAAUAAGAUGAUGUUGUUUGCUUUAAUUAAUUGAAAAGUUUUGUCCUGACCUUCUUUAUACAGAACCUUGAGUGAACAAUUUUGGAUGUCUAAGAUCUAAUGAGACAGAGGUCUAUCUUGUGUUCUUCUUGUGCUUUAUUUUCAUGAUUUGGAGAAUGUUUGAAUUCUCAGAUUAAGGCUAUAUCAAGAGUAAUUGCUUAAAAUGUUCCUACAUACUGACAUUCUUUUAAUCCCAUCAGUCUUCCCCAUGUUUAUCCUGAUAAGGAUUUCUCUUAUCUGACACUCAAACAAAAAGUAAGAGAUUGAAAGGUAAUGUGGUGUUAACACACUUAUAAUCUAUUACCUAUAGCAUUUGGGCCUCAAACAAAUGUCUGCAUAGGUCUUGGAAGAAAUAAAAAGCAAAAUGGUGCUGUGCAAACUAAUUCUUCGUUUUGUCGUAAUAUUUCCAGAAUUGCUGUCAUGAAGCUUUCAACAUGAAGCUUGACAUUCAAAUUGAAAUCUCAAACUGCUACUGAUAUUGGAGAGGAAACAGAAGAGGAUUAGAAGAAGAA